rnacentral:lncRNA from 1 species
GCUGGCACUACAUCCUGGUGCUACUGUUCGAUGUUAGCACCGAAAACCAGCCCGAAUACGAAUGGGCGUCUCCAACAGCUGUCCCCACAGCUCUCCUCUGUGUGCGCUGAUCACAGCAUUUAUCACAGUCUUUGACUGAUGACUCACUCGUCUACCUGUUCACCUAGUCUCCAGAUCCCUAAGGAAAAUAGGCAUCUUGUCCAUCUUUAAACGCCCAGUCCUAGCACAGUGACUAGUCCUACAGAGAAGAAGUGAAAUGAAUACUAAAUAAAUAAAUGAUUACCUGAAAUGAUAACGAUUUUCUCAGACUUAGUUUCAAACCCAUCU